GGGACGCAGAGGUCUUCCUCCUCCGGGCUGCUCGGACAUCACAGUCCUCCAGCUGCCUACGUCUGUGAGGGGCCAAGCAGCUCCAUCAGUCCCUCCACGGAAGCACCGAGGGUUGCCAGAGGGAGAGAUCGCUGCCACCGGAGCUGUCCUGACCUCAGAGUUUUAGGGACCUGCUUAGCCUCCCCUUCCUGA
rnacentral:lncRNA from 1 species